CCGUGAAACUGCGAAUGGCUCAUUAAAUCAGUUAUCGUUUAUUUGAUAGUACCUUACUACUUGGAUACCCGUGGUAAUUCUAGAGCUAAUACAUGCUAAAAACCCCGACUUCGGGAGGGGUGUGUUUAUUAGAUAAAAAACCAACGCCCUUCGGGGCUCCUUGGUGAUUCAUGAUAACUUCUCAGAUCGCACGGCCUUGCGCCGGCGACGGUUCAUUCAAAUUUCUGCCCUAUCAACUUUCGAUGGUAAGGUAUUGGCUUACCAUGGUUUCAACGGGUAACGGGGAAUUAGGGUUCGAUUCCGGAGAGUGAGCCUGAGAAACGGCUCACACAUCCAAGGAAGGCAGCAGGCGCGCAAAUUACCCAAUCCCGACACGGGGAGGUAGUGACAAUAAAUACUGAUACAGGGCUCUUUUGGGUCUUGUAAUUGGAAUGAGUACAAUUUAAACCUCUUAACGAGGAACAAUUGGAGGGCAAGUCUGGUGCCAGCAGCCGCGGUAAUUCCAGCUCCAAUAGCGUAUAUUAAAGUUGUUGCAGUUAAAAAGCUCGUAGUUGAAUCUUUGGCCUGGCUGGCGGGUCCGCCUCACCGCGUGCACUUGUCCGGCCGGGCCUUCUCUUCUGGAGAACCGCAUGCCCUUCACUGGGCGUGUUGGGGACCAGGACUUUUACUUUGAAAAAAUUAGAGUGUUCAAAGCAGGCCUUUGCUCGAAUACGUUAGCAUGGAAUAAUAGAAUAGGACGUGCGGUCCUAUUUUGUUGGUUUCUAGGACCGCCGUAAUGAUUAAUAGGGACAGUCGGGGGCAUCAGUAUUCAAUUGUCAGAGGUGAAAUUCUUGGAUUUAUUGAAGACUAACUACUGCGAAAGCAUUUGCCAAGGAUGUUUUCAUUAAUCAGUGAACGAAAGUUAGGGGAUCGAAGACGAUCAGAUACCGUCGUAGUCUUAACCAUAAACUAUGCCGACUAGGGAUCGGGCGGUGUUAUCGAUUUGACCCGCUCGGCACCUUGCGAGAAAUCAAAGUGUU
rnacentral:rRNA from 1 species